rnacentral:misc_RNA from 1 species
GCCAAAAUUAAUAUGUAAUGAUUUAACGCUCAGCAGAUGUUGCAGCAAAAGAAGUUGGGGCACUGCCGUCAUUUAAAGAACUCUCUGGGUUGCUCUCUCGUCUAUUGUGGCCACCCUGCUCAUUAGAACCUUGAUUUGUAACACCAUCCUCUCUGGUUUCAAGGCGUUGCAUCAUACGUGAUACACUGGCAAUUCCUGCAUUUACUUCUCUUCGAACUUCAGAACCAAGUUCUGACAUGGAAGUGUUGCG